rnacentral:lncRNA from 1 species
AUCAAAAAUAUGAAAAAAUUCAGGUGACAUAACACUAGAAGUGAUAAUUUUAUUCUACGUAAUAUUGUAAAGUAGAACAAUAUGUUACCUCCAUUUUUUCAAAUUCUUUUCCUUGUGUUAUUGUUAAUUCCCUAACAUAGGAAAAAAAGUUGAAAAAUCGAUGAACAGAUUUUUUUACAAAGGUCACCAAGAAAUUACGUAGUUGAGCAUAUAAGUGCAUCCCUUCGCGGCGUCUUUAUUAAUUGUAAAACAUACGUUUUCCUAUACCAUAAUGUAUAUAUUGGAAUAACCCAUGCUAGGAAAGCGAGUGGCCGUAGAUGAAGCUCGUGUACCAUGGAUGUUACAUAUACGUAUAAUGAGCGCAUGUGUCAAACGACAAGCGGUCGCGAAGAAUCGAGAAUGUCCGAGCGUGAAAUACUCGCGCCUCUUCUUCUGCCUCUGAUUGGCUCGCUAGGUCAGCGUGUUGUAACUCGUACGGUUCCUGCACGCUGAGAGCCGAGGACGACGCGUCAGAAUGCCCCCCCCCCACCGUUCGCGAAGGCUCUCAGCUCACGCGAUCAGUGAAUCAGUCUAAUUUGACCAACUUCCGAGGUCAGUGCACGUCCGUGUUUAUGUGAGCCUUCAUAAGCUGGUAUUUGACGGAUUAGCAGUGAUAUCGAGGAAGUGAAUGCUCCAGCUGCGGUCGAAUAAUAAUUAAAACUUAUGCGUACUGCGUACCUAGACAACGCUUUCUAUAGCGUCUGUGUUCUUUUUUGAAAUAAUGUGCCAAUACUUUUUAUUAUUUUACUUUGUCAGGAUUGUGAUUUUUUACCUAGUCCCGAGAUGAAAGUUAACAAUUUUCCUCGUUAGGGUAUAAUCAUUGUAUGAUUAUUUUGUUUCAUGUUUUAUUUGUUAUCAAACCUCUUGUAUCGGAUAUAAGUUUUUGUUUGUUCAUGUUCACUUAAUUUUACUAUUUGCUAUACUUCUAUACUCUUGUGAGUACAUCUGUACAAUUGAGGUAUGCGUAUAUGUAAAAGACUGUAUGUUUAUUUAUACAUCCCAGUCAACAUUCACACAGUUACAUCGUUGGCAUAAUAAAAUGUCCGCAUCAACGAUACAGACAAACUGGUAUAUAAAAAACUACUGUUAUGUUUCGGAUACAUUGUUAAAGCGGAUAUUUCGAUACGUGUGCAAUGUAACUAUUGUCAUUGUUGCCUUGGAUGAAAGUACCUUAUAAUAAAUAUAUAUCAUGUUUCGCAAA